GGGGCUGUGGUCUAACUUGGUAUGAUUGGCGGUUCGGGGCCGCCCGAUCGGGGUUCAAAUCCCCGCAGCCCCA
rnacentral:tRNA from 1 species